rnacentral:lncRNA from 1 species
UAAAAAUGGAAUUGCAUACCUUUAGCUUGUGAAAACCCUCUCUGCAUUAUUCUCAUUUAUCUUAUCUCACUAGGGAAUGGGUGGAAACUUGGAUCCAUAUUUGGGAACCGUUGAGCUCGUUGACAAGUCAGAAGAGCUUUCCAGAUGAGAAAACUGAGGCUUCCACAGCUUUUGGAAAAAGUUCCCCGGAGUCACACCACAGCUGAUGAUUUACCACCGGCUGAGCCCCAGGUCAUCAGGGAACCACCCUGCUGGUCUUGAAGAAGCGAGCUGCAAGGAAAGAAUUCUUCCAACAAGCACACAAGCUUGGAAGAGGACCCCAAGCCUCAGAGGAGACACCAACCCUGGCCACUGCCUGCACUGCAGCUGACCCUGAGCAGAGGAUCCUACUAAGCCAUGCUCAACCUUGGAAACUUCAAGGUCGUAAGUCUAUGUUGUCUAAACCACUAGAAACACACAGCAAUAGAAAACUAAGAGAGGUGGUAAAAAAAAAAAAAAGCAUAAACAAAGGAAAAGGCAACUUAGGAGAUAGAGGAUGAGAUAGCUUCAUUUCCUAACAAACACGAAAUGCCAGUCUUAUUCAGCUUUAGGCAUGUUUGCUGGAUUUUUGCCACUCACAGUAUUCCUACCUCCUACCUCUAAAGUCUUUCAAACAAUGUAGGUAAAGUUGUUUGUAUUUUAUGCCAUGGAUUAAUGCCAAAUGCUAUGGAUAAGAGGACAAAUACUCUUAAACUAAAUGUAGCUGUCAUCCAGUAAACUUGAGCAAAUUGGCUGUAAAGGACGAAGACAGAGAAGCUAUUGGAAAAUCUGUUCCUCUCCCCCCGUGGAAAGAUUUCUGUUUUUUAUAAUAUAUAAUCAUUAUUUUUAAAAAAUCUAACAAUAGAGACAAAAUGGAAAGGUAUCCUUCUAGGAAAGUCAGUUUUAAGAUUAAGAAAUCAAUGCAAGGAGGGUAUGUGAGGAGGCACUCCUUUAUGUGAAUGGGGGAAAGAAAAGGCUCAAGUCCCUGCACAGGCGCUGCACCCUGGUCCUAGGUGGCCCCCAUAAAAGCUGCCACCACUGUCAUCAUUAUUAAACACACACAAGCCCUUUUAUGUCCAUGUGCUUUCUUGUGUAGUAAGUGCCCAUAGGGAAGAGAUGGGAGUUUGAGAGAAACAAAAUGAGAAGCUGGUAGUCCUGGAAGAUGAAGGCUGACACCCAUGGGUCCUUCCCAUGUGGCAUUCAGAUCAUGCUUGGCCAGACCAGGCUAGCUGGGACGGUGCUGUCCUAGGAGUCAUCACGUGGCCUGAGUGUCCUUUUGACUUUAGAAGGAGCAGAAAAGGAGGCUACCUUUGAGGUGUGAUUUAAAAGCUAGGGAUAAAACUCUGGGCUCAAAAUUAUUUCAGUGACUACCUUUCACUGGACUCCAGGUCACUGCUAAAGAUUCAUUUUGGGUGAUUUUGAAAGGUUUUCUGCUUUCAAGAAGACCUUCAUGAACACAGAUAUCCCUGGGAGACACAAAAGGGAGGCUAAACCUUGGAAAAGAUUAGAUGGAACCAGUUGAUAGUACGAGAAUGGCUAAAAAGUGAGAAGAAAGAGAAAGGGCCCAAAUUCCUGGAAACAGCUUAGCCUCUCUUACUGCCUUGUGUGAACAAGAGGGGUGUGUGUGUGUGUGUGUGUGUGUGUGUGUGUGUGUGUGUGCACGCGCGCAUCCACUCCUCCCUCCUGCAUCCACUUCAGACAUUGCUGAUGGAUUGGAUGGUGAUGCACAUGCCUACUGGCCUUGAGCAUCCUUCUUACACAGAUUCCCCUUGCUGCCACUGCCAGUCAGCCAGGGCAGGCUGGUGAGAUGAAACCUUGCUGACCUGAAACCAGGUCCUGGGCAAGCCUUGACUCCUUGGGAUAAGGACUUGAAAAGGUCAUUUCAAGGCGCAGGACAAUACACGAAUUUUGGGGCCCCAUGAUUAGUACAGUGAUAAUAUAAUUAACCACCUGAAUGGUGUUGGUGAUAUGAUAUCAUCUCAUGUAAUCCUCACAACACUCUGAGUGCUCCCAUUAAACAGACAGAUC